ACAUGGCUCAUUUGGUGGAGUGUCAGACUCAAAAUCCAAGGGUACUUGGUUCGAU
rnacentral:tRNA from 13 species